rnacentral:lncRNA from 1 species
GUCCGGACUCCUAAGAGAGUCGGACUUCGCCCCCGACUUUGAUUGCAGGCAGACUUCGCCCGGGCUCUUACGGGAGCCAGAUCUUGUCUCCGACUCCAGCUGCGGGAAGACUCCGUCCGGACUCCUACGGGAGCCAGACCUCGUUCCCGACUCUGGCUGCAGGCGGACUUCACCCGGACUCCUACGGGAGCCGGGCUCCGCCCACGACUUCACUUACAGGUAAAUUUCGUCCGGAUUCCUCCGUGAGCCGGAAUUCACCCACAACUCCAGUUGCAGGAAGACUCAGCCCGGACUCCUACGGGAGCCGGAUCUCGUCUCUGACUCCGAUCGAAGGAAGACUCCAUCCGAACUUCAUCCCUGAUCUCGACUGCUGGAAGGCUUCCCCCGGACUCCUAUGAGAGCCGGGCUCUGUCCUCGACCCUGACUGCUGGUAAACUUCGUCCGGACUCCUAAGGGAGGCGGACUUCACCCCCGACUUUGAUUGCAGGCGGACUUCGCCCGGGCUCCUACGGGAGCCAGAUCUCAUCUCUGACUCCAGCUGCAGGAAGACUCCGCCCGAACAUCUACGGGAGUCGGACCUCGUUCCUGACUCCGGCUGCAGGCGGAUUUCGCCUGGACUCCUAUGGGAGCCGGGCUCCGCCCGCGACUUCACUUACAGGUAAACUUCGUCC